UCGGCUUCCCUCGGUAGUUUCCGGCAAUGAUCGAGAGUUUCUAACGUGCCCCCUUGUUGUCUCUCGGCUGGCGUCCUCCCUUACCGCCCCCCUCCCCGCCUUUUCGGCUCCCUCUCCCCCUUCCCCCCACCACCCGGCAAGCCUGGUCUUGCUGGCGCCUUUGGCGCUACGGGCUGGGCAAGAUGGCGGCUUUCGGGAUCUUGAGCUACGAACACCGGCCCCUGAAGCGGCCGCGGCUGGGGCCUCCCGAUGUAUACCCUCAAGAUCCCAAACAGAAGGAGGAUGAACUGACGGCCUUGAAUGUAAAACAAGGUUUCAAUAACCAGCCUGCUGUCUCUGGGGAUGAACAUGGCAGUGCUAAGAACGUCAACUUCAAUCCUGCCAAGAUCAGUUCCAACUUCAGCAGCAUUAUUGCAGAGAAGUUACGUUGUAACACCCUUCCUGACACUGGUCGCAGGAAGCCCCAAGUGAACCAGAAGGACAACUUCUGGCUGGUGACUCCACGAUCCCAAAGUGCCAUUAACACCUGGUUCACUGACCUGGCUGGCACCAAGCCCCUCACACAACUAGCUAAAAAGGUCCCCAUUUUCAGUAAGAAGGAAGAAGUGUUUGGGUACUUAGCCAAAUACACAGUGCCUGUGAUGCGGGCUGCCUGGCUCAUUAAGAUGACCUGUGCCUACUAUGCAGCAAUGUCUGAGACCAAGGUUAAGAAGAGACAUGUUGACCCCUUCACGGAAUGGACUCAGAUUACCACCAAGUACUUAUGGGAACAGCUACAGAAAAUGGCUGAAUACUACCGGCCAGGGACUGCAGGAAGUGGGGGCUGUGGUUCCACAAUAGGGCCCUUGCCCCAUGAUGUAGAGGUGGCAAUCCGACAGUGGGAUUACAAUGAGAAGCUGGCCAUGUUCAUGUUUCAGGAUGGAAUGCUGGACAGACAUGAGUUCCUGACCUGGGUGCUUGAGUGUUUUGAGAAAAUCCGCCCUGGAGAGGAUGAAUUGCUUAAACUGCUGCUGCCUUUACUGCUUCGAUACUCUGGGGAAUUUGUUCAGUCUGCAUACCUCUCCCGCCGCCUUGCCUACUUCUGUACCCGGAGACUGGCCCUGCAGCUGGAUGGUGUGAGCAGCCACUCAUCUCAUGUUAUGUCCUCUCAGUCAACAAGCACGCUGCCUACCACCCCUGCUCCUCAGCCCCCAACUAGCAGCACACCCUCAACUCCCUUUAGUGACCUGCUUAUGUGCCCUCAGCACCGGCCCCUGGUUUUUGGCCUCAGCUGUAUCCUACAGACCAUCCUCCUGUGUUGUCCUAGUGCCCUGGUUUGGCACUACUCACUGACUGACAGCCGGAUUAAGACUGGCUCACCGCUUGACCACUUGCCUAUUGCCCCCUCCAACCUGCCCAUGCCAGAGGGGAACAGUGCCUUCACUCAGCAGGUCCGUGCGAAGUUGCGGGAGAUUGAGCAGCAGAUCAAGGAGCGAGGACAGGCAGUUGAGGUUCGCUGGUCUUUUGACAAGUGUCAGGAAGCUACUGCAGGCUUCACCAUUGGACGGGUGCUCCAUACUUUGGAAGUGCUGGACAGCCAUAGUUUUGAGCGCUCUGACUUUAGCAACUCUCUUGACUCCCUUUGUAACCGAAUCUUUGGAUUGGGACCUAGCAAGGAUGGGCAUGAGAUCUCUUCAGAUGAUGAUGCUGUGGUAUCAUUACUAUGUGAAUGGGCUGUCAGCUGCAAGCGUUCUGGCCGGCAUCGUGCUAUGGUGGUAGCCAAGCUCCUGGAGAAGAGACAGGCAGAGAUUGAGGCUGAGCGUUGUGGAGAAUCAGAAGCAGCAGAUGAGAAAGGUUCCAUCGCCUCUGGCUCUCUUUCUGCUCCUAGUGCUCCCAUUUUCCAAGAUGUUCUACUGCAGUUUCUGGAUACACAGGCUCCCAUGCUGACGGACCCCCGAAGUGAGAGUGAGCGGGUGGAAUUCUUUAACUUAGUACUGCUGUUCUGUGAACUGAUCCGACAUGAUGUUUUCUCCCACAACAUGUAUACUUGCACUCUCAUAUCCCGAGGGGACCUUGCCUUUGGAGCCCCUGGUCCCCGGCCUCCCUCUCCCUUUGAUGAUCCUGCUGAUGACCCAGAGCGCAAGGAGGUUGAAGGCAGCAGCAGUAGCAAGCUGGAGGACCCAGGACUCUCAGAAUCUAUGGACAUUGACCCAAGUUCCAGUGUACUCUUUGAGGACAUGGAGAAGCCUGAUUUCUCAUUGUUUUCCCCUACUAUGACCUGUGAAGGGAAGGGCAGUCCAUCCCCUGAGAAACCAGAUGUUGAGAAGGAAGUGAAGCCUCCACCCAAGGAGAAGAUUGAAGGGACCCUUGGAGUUCUUUAUGACCAGCCACGACAUGUGCAGUAUGCUACACACUUUCCCAUCCCCCAGGAGGAGUCAUGCAGCCAUGAGUGCAACCAGCGGUUGGUCGUACUGUUUGGGGUGGGAAAGCAGCGAGAUGAUGCCCGCCAUGCCAUCAAGAAGAUUACCAAGGAUAUCCUGAAGGUUCUGAACCGCAAGGGAACAGCAGAAACUGACCAGCUUGCUCCUAUUGUGCCUCUGAAUCCUGGAGACCUGACAUUCUUAGGUGGGGAGGACGGGCAGAAGCGGAGGCGCAACCGGCCUGAAGCCUUCCCCACUGCUGAAGAUAUCUUUGCUAAGUUCCAGCACCUUUCACAUUAUGACCAACAUCAGGUCACAGCUCAGGUCUCCCGGAAUGUCCUGGAGCAGAUCACAAGCUUUGCCCUUGGCAUGUCAUACCACUUGCCUCUGGUGCAGCAUGUGCAGUUCAUCUUCGACCUCAUGGAAUAUUCACUCAGCAUCAGUGGCCUCAUCGACUUUGCCAUUCAGCUGCUGAAUGAACUGAGCGUAGUUGAGGCCGAGCUGCUUCUCAAAUCCUCAGAUCUGGUGGGUAGCUAUACUACCAGCCUGUGUCUGUGCAUCGUGGCUGUCCUGAGGCACUAUCAUGCCUGCCUCAUUCUCAACCAGGACCAGAUGGCACAAGUCUUUGAGGGGCUAUGUGGCGUAGUGAAGCAUGGGAUGAACCGGUCAGAUGGCUCCUCUGCAGAACGCUGUAUCCUUGCUUAUCUCUAUGAUCUGUACACCUCCUGUAGCCAUUUAAAGAGCAAAUUUGGGGAGCUCUUCAGUGACUUUUGCUCAAAGGUGAAGAAUACUAUCUACUGCAAUGUAGAGCCAUCGGAAUCAAAUAUGCGCUGGGCACCUGAGUUCAUGAUUGACACUCUGGAGAACCCUGCAGCUCACACCUUCACCUACACAGGGCUAGGCAAGAGUCUUAGUGAGAACCCUGCUAACCGCUACAGCUUUGUCUGCAAUGCCCUUAUGCACGUCUGUGUGGGGCACCAUGAUCCCGAUAGGGUGAAUGACAUUGCAAUCCUGUGUGCAGAACUGACCGGCUACUGCAAGUCACUGAGUGCAGAAUGGCUUGGAGUACUUAAGGCCUUGUGCUGCUCCUCUAACAAUGGCACUUGUGGUUUCAACGACCUCCUCUGCAAUGUAGAUGUGAGUGACCUGUCUUUUCAUGACUCCCUGGCUACUUUUGUUGCCAUCCUCAUUGCUCGGCAGUGUUUGCUCUUAGAAGAUCUGAUUCGCUGUGCUGCCAUCCCUUCGCUCCUUAAUGCUGCUUGUAGUGAACAGGACUCUGAGCCUGGGGCCCGGCUUACCUGCCGCAUCCUCCUCCACCUUUUCAAGACACCACAACUCAAUCCUUGCCAGUCUGAUGGAAACAAACCUACAGUAGGAAUCCGCUCCUCCUGUGACCGCCACCUGCUGGCUGCCUCCCAGAACCGCAUCGUGGAUGGAGCUGUGUUUGCUGUUCUCAAGGCUGUGUUUGUACUUGGGGAUGCGGAACUGAAGGGUUCGGGCUUCACUGUGACAGGAGGAACAGAAGAACUUCCAGAAGAGGAGGGAGGAGGUGGCAGUGGCGGUCGAAGGCAGGGUAGCCGCAACAUCUCUGUGGAGACAGCCAGUCUGGAUGUCUAUGCCAAGUACGUGCUACGCAGCAUCUGCCAACAGGAAUGGGUAGGAGAACGUUGCCUUAAGUCUCUGUGUGAGGACAGCAAUGACCUACAAGAUCCAGUGUUGAGUAGUGCCCAGGCCCAGCGCCUCAUGCAGCUUAUCUGCUAUCCACAUCGACUGCUGGACAAUGAGGAUGGGGAAAACCCUCAGCGACAACGCAUUAAGCGUAUUCUUCAGAACUUGGACCAGUGGACCAUGCGCCAGUCUUCCUUGGAAUUGCAGCUCAUGAUCAAGCAGACCCCUAACAACGAGAUGAACUCCCUCUUGGAGAACAUUGCCAAGGCCACAAUUGAGGUUUUCCAACAGUCAGCAGAGACAGGGUCAUCUUCUGGAAAUGCUGCAAGCAACAUGCCCAGCAGCAACAAGACCAAGCCUGUGCUCAGCUCUCUAGAGCGCUCCGGUGUAUGGCUGGUUGCCCCCCUCAUUGCUAAACUGCCCACCUCAGUCCAGGGACAUGUAUUAAAGGCUGCUGGGGAGGAAUUAGAGAAGGGUCAGCACCUGGGUUCCUCUUCCCGCAAAGAACGGGAUCGACAAAAGCAGAAGAGCAUGUCCCUGUUGAGCCAGCAGCCCUUCUUAUCCCUGGUGCUGACAUGUCUGAAAGGGCAGGAUGAGCAACGUGAGGGACUCCUUACCUCCCUCUACAGCCAGGUGCACCAGAUUGUGAAUAAUUGGCGAGAUGACCAGUACUUAGAUGAUUGUAAACCAAAGCAGCUCAUGCAUGAGGCACUCAAACUGCGGCUCAACCUGGUGGGGGGCAUGUUUGACACGGUGCAGCGCAGCACCCAGCAGACCACAGAGUGGGCCAUGCUCCUCCUGGAGAUCAUCAUCAGUGGCACUGUCGACAUGCAGUCCAACAAUGAGCUCUUUACUACUGUGUUGGACAUGCUGAGUGUGCUUAUCAAUGGGACAUUGGCUGCAGAUAUGUCUAGCAUCUCACAAGGCAGCAUGGAGGAAAACAAACGUGCAUACAUGAACCUGGUGAAGAAGCUGCAGAAAGAAUUGGGGGAGCGCCAGUCGGACAGUCUGGAAAAGGUUCGCCAGCUGCUGCCACUGCCUAAGCAGACCCGAGAUGUCAUCACAUGUGAGCCACAGGGCUCCCUCAUCGACACCAAGGGCAACAAGAUUGCUGGCUUCGAUUCUAUCUUCAAGAAGGAGGGUUUACAGGUUUCCACAAAACAAAAGAUCUCUCCCUGGGAUCUUUUUGAGGGGUUGAAGCCAUCAGCACCACUUUCUUGGGGCUGGUUUGGAACAGUCCGGGUUGACCGACGAGUGGCUCGAGGAGAGGAACAGCAGCGGUUGCUGCUCUAUCACACACACCUGAGACCCCGGCCCCGUGCCUAUUACCUGGAGCCACUGCCACUACCACCAGAAGAUGAGGAGCCCCCUGCUCCCACGCUGCUAGAGCCUGAGAAAAAGGCUCCAGAGCCCCCUAAAACAGAUAAACCUGGGGCUGCUCCUCCCAGUACUGAGGAGCGCAAGAAGAAGUCCACCAAGGGCAAGAAGCGUAGCCAGCCAGCCACCAAAACAGAGGAUUAUGGAAUGGGCCCAGGUCGGAGUGGUCCCUAUGGUGUGACAGUGCCACCGGACCUCCUGCACCACACAAAUCCUAGUUCUAUAUCCCACAUUAGCUAUAGACAGAGCUCCAUAAGCCUGUAUACCCAGAACCAGCCACUACCUGCAGGUGGCCCUCGUGUGGACCCAUACCGCCCUGUGCGAUUACCAAUGCAGAAGCUGCCAACCCGACCAACUUACCCUGGAGUGCUACCCACAACUAUGACUAGCGUCAUAGGCUUAGAACCUUCCUCUUAUAAGACCUCUGUGUACCGGCAGCAGCAACCUACAGUGCCCCAAGGACAGCGCCUUCGCCAACAGCUCCAGGCAAAGAUACAGAGUCAGGGGAUGUUGGGGCAGUCAUCUGUCCAUCAGAUGACUCCCAGCUCUUCCUACGGUCUACAGACCUCCCAGGGCUAUACUCCUUAUGUUUCUCAUGUGGGAUUGCAGCAACACACAGGCCCUGCAGGUACCAUGGUGCCCCCCAGCUAUUCCAGCCAGCCUUAUCAGAGCACCCACCCUUCUACCAAUCCUACUCUUGUAGAUCCUACCCGCCACCUGCAACAGCGGCCCAGUGGCUAUGUGCACCAGCAGGCCCCAGCCUAUGGACAUGGACUAACCUCCACUCAAAGGUACACGAAGUAGUGGUGAGCUGAGAAGAGACACAGAGGCUUUUGCCUGUGACUGAAGGUGAUGGGACUACUCAGAACUUUUGGAGAUGUUGAAAACACUUAAUUUGUUUGGCCACAUAAUCCAUAACCACAAAAGGCUGGAGCUGGAAGUGAGUCUGGAGACCAUUCGUCUCACAUCUACUUCCUUGACAUUUCUUUGAGGCUUAGAGAGGGGAAAUUGUUUCUCCAACUCUGAUAAGAAAAGAUCUGGAGUUCAUAAAUACACUACAUGAUAAGAAGUCAUAAAGCUCAUAUUAAAAAGUUGAGUACCAGGGGGCGGCGCCUGUGGCUUAAGGAGUAGGGCGCUGGCCCCAUAUGCCGGAGGUGAUGGGUUCAAACCUGGCCCUGGCAAAAAACUGCAAAAAAAAAAAAAAAAAAAGUUGAAUACUAGGAAGGAUUAAUGAACAUGAUCCUUCCACCAUGGUUAGUCAAGCCUUACUUAAGACUUUGUAACCAUAUCUUGAGGCUCCAGAGCUUAGGAUUUGUAACACUGGAGCUGUGCUGGGACUGGUUGAGAUGAGGAAAGAUAGCAAAAUAAAUAAAUAAAAUACCUAGUCCCUCAUCACAAAGAAUUUUUACUAAAGUUGAGGAGAUAAGACUUACAUAGAACCUGUAGAGAACACUCUGAGUAAAGAUAUAAUCAGAUGUGCAGUUGUGUACUGUGAAGCCAAGUCAGAAUUCAGAAAAAAAUAUGGGGUAAUAACCACGUGGGCCUGAGUCAUCAGAGAAAGUUUUAUGAAGGAGAUUAGACUUGAGUUGACCUUUGAAGGUUAGGUAUGAUUGGGAUUUGUGGAGAAGAGAAGGAAGGACAUUCCAGGUAGAGGACGUAUGUAGUAUGAAAAAGACAUGGGGACCAGAAUGAGUAGGGUAUCUGGAGAGAAGAGCUAGGAUGGCAUGUCAUAUUUGUGUUGGGGAAGUAGUAAAGGCUAGGGGGGUGCAGAUUGACAGAUGGCUUUGAAUGCUCAGCUGCAGAAUUGAGACACAAUCCCAGAAAGGGCUCUUUAGAUCAAGAAAGUGAUAGGAGGAGUUGAACAUGUUGAGAAAUUCAUGUGGAAUGUGUGGAUAUGAUGCAUAGUGGAAGGUGGGAGAGGACUUGAGACAGGGAGCCCAGCCCACAGAUUGUUGCAGUGAUGUACAGAUGUAGAACAACUUGAAAUGUUAUUGAGGAAUAACCACAGCAACAACAGAAAACCUCAAUGAGUGUUUAUCUAUCUUGCCUAUCGUGUGCUAAGACUGUUUUUCACUUUCAUAAGAGAAAAAUAGCUUAAAGCAGAAUUGAAAAAUUUCUACCCAUUAAAGUCAUGAGACAAUAAGUGAAAUUGAAUUCUUUAACCUAGAAAUUUAUCAGAUCCUAAAAAGGGCUCUUCUGGUUAGUGACAAAAGGAAUGAAUGAAGUAACUUGUUAAUAUUCUUUUAGGUCAGGGAUCCAAGGUUUUCCUUACCCCUUUUCUCUCCCCUCCCCCAUGCCUUGAUCUCUGGACCUCUUGUCUUUGGAGGUUUUCACACCAGACACUGCAGCAGACACCAAUGAUAAGUACCAUGACUCCACUGAGUGCCCAGGGUGUCCAGGCAGGUGUCCGCUCAACUUCCAUCCUACCUGAGCAACAGCAGCAGCAGCAGCAACAACAACAGCAACAAC